rnacentral:lncRNA from 1 species
GAUGAGAUUAACAAGGAUCCGAUCACCUAUAGAGAUGCAAUGCAGUGGUCUAACUCUGAGAAGUGGCUUAGAGCCAUUAAAUCCAAAUUAAAGUCUAUGAAAAUCAAUAGUGUAUAGACACUAGAUGAUUCACCUGAAGAAAUAAAACCCAUUGGGCGUGAAUGGAUUUUUCAAAAGGAUCAGAGUAGCACAGACGGGAAGGUGGAGACCUAUAAAGCCCGUUUCGCUAUUAUCCCAGAGUUGGAACAUAUGUUUUGAACAUAUGUCUUUGU